rnacentral:rRNA from 1 species
CUUUAAGGUCUAACCUGCCCAAUGAGGAUUUAAAUGGCCGCAGUAUUUUGACUGUGCAAAGGUAGCAUAAUUAUUAGUUUUUUAAUUGAAAGCUUGCAUGAAUGGUUGGACGAGAUAAAAUCUGUCUUUAUUUAAAUUAAAGUAGAAUUUAACUUUUAAGUUAAAAGGCUUAAAUGUUAAUAAAAGACGAGAAGACCCUAUAGAUCUUUAUUUAUUUAAAAUUAUAAUAAUUUAGGAUUAUUUUAGUUUAAAGUUUUAAUUAAAUUUUAUUGGGGUAAUAUAAAGAUUAAAUAAAUUCUUUUUGUUAAUAACAUUAAUUUAUGAGUGUAUGAUCCGGUAUUAUUGAUUAUAAGAUUAAGUUACCUUAGGGAUAACAGCGUAAUUUUUUUGGAGAGCUCUUAUCGAUAAAAAAGUUUGCGACCUCGAUGUUGGAUUAAAAGUUAGUUUGGGUGCAGAAGCUCAAGAUUUUGGUCUGUUCGACCAUUAAAUUUUUACAUGAUCUGAGUUCAGACCGGCGUAAGCCAGGUCGGUUUCUAUCUUUAUUUAAGUAAAAUAUUUUAGUACGAAAGGACCAAAUAUUUAAUAUAUAUAUUUUGUUUUUGAAUAAUAUUAUUACUUUGGCAGAAUAGUGCAAUGAAUUUAGAAUUCGUAAAUGUAAUUUUAUUACAAGUAAUACUUGUAUUUGGGAGAUUUGUUGUUAAUAGUUUUUUGUAUAUUAAUUCUUGUAAUUUGUGUAUUGGUGGGUGUUGCUUUUCUUACCUUACUGGAGC